CACUCUGUGGUAGAGAAUCAUAUUGUCAAAUGGUAAAAGUAGCUGAUUUAAAACUGGACAACACUGUUCACACUUCUUGAGUAUAUUUCUGUUGGCAUUUUUGUAUUUUUGGUUACUAAAGAGUUUCCUCCUUUAGAAAUACAAUCCCAGAUUGCUAACAGAGCAGGUCUGGUGUUUCUGAGAAGAGAAGGGCUUUUCCUUUGAUGUGGUCUCUGAGUAGUUUCACACACUUGAACACCUGGAAAUCAAAACAUUUUAAUUGACUGAACACUUUUCCUGGUAAUUUAAUUUUUUUUUCAUGUUUAUUUUUGUUUUUGAGAAAGAGAGAGGGAGAGACAGAAUCUGAAACAGGCUCCAGACUCUGAGCCGUCAGCACAGAGCCCGACAUGAGACUGGAACCUGGGAAAGGCAAGAUCAUGACCUAGGCCAAAGUCGGACACUCAACCGACUGAGCCACCCAGGUGCCCCUCCUGGUAAUUUAAAUGAGUAGUUGGAUGACAUGUUACUCCCAAUCUCUCUCUCUCUCUCUCUUCUUUUUACUUGUGCUCUAAUUGUUUCCAUUUUCUAUCAUCACUUUCUGUAAUUACUGACUCCUUGGAAAACACAGAUUUUUAUCAACCAAUCUGAGGAAAAUUUAUAAAAUGUCAGACGCCACGAAGCCUAUAUUCAAAGACUUCCAAGGGAGUCCAGAAGAUCAAAUUGCCAGGACAAGGUUUCUACUUGCUGGUCAUGCCAUGAGGCUCAGGACAAGGCUGACGUUUUUGUAGAAGCUCUAACCAGUGUGAUGAAUCAGGAUGGAUCAAGAUAUUUGCAGAAGGAACUAAGCUCAUAGUAACUCCCCCAGAUAAAAGCCCUGAUGAAGACACUUCCCCCAAGCCCACGAUUUUUCUUCCUUCACCUGCUGAAAGAACACUCCAUAAGACUGGAACAUAUCUUUGUCUUCUUGAGGAUUUUUUCCCUGAUGUUAUCAAGGUAGAUUGGGAAGAGAAAGAUGGCAAAACAAUUCUGAAAUCCCAGCAGGGAAACACCAUGAAGACUAAGGACACAUACAUGAAAUACACCUGGCUGACUGUGACAGAAAAGUCAAUGGAUAAAGAACACAAAUGUAUUGUCAAACACGAGAAGAAUAAAGGAGGGGUUGAUCAAGAGAUUCUGUUUCCUUCAAUAAACACAGAACCCCCUGCUAUUAAUUCUACAGAAGCUUCACUGAAAGAUGAAAAUGCUUCUUUUAGACCCCCUACAGCUGCAGCUAGUGACCAGCUCUGCCUACUACACCUACAUCAUCCUCCUCGUCAAGAGCGUGGUCUAUACCAUCAUCAUCGCCUACCGUCUGCUUGGGAGAUCAGCACUCUGCCGCAAUGAGAAGAGUUCCUAA